GAUGAAGAACGUAGCGAAAUGCGAUAAGUAGUGUGAAUUGCAGAAUUCCGUGAAUCAUCGAAUCCUUGAACGCACAUUGCGCCUCCUGGUAAUCCGUGAGGCAUGCCUGUCCGAGCGUCAGUAAAAAGCAACUCGGCCGCGGCUGGCGGUUGGUGAUGGAGGAAGAGCACGUCUCGUUGUCGGUCUCCCCUCCCAAAAUCAACGGCGGAAUGUCACUGGCACUCGGUGUUGUAGUAUUAUUCGCCGAUCACCCAUUGUUGUUCCUGCCGCCCAAACCCCCACAAUUCUCUUGAUUGACCUCGGAUCAGGUAGGGAUACCCGCUGAACUUAAGCAUAUCAAUAAGCGGAGGA
rnacentral:misc_RNA from 1 species